GAUGAACGCUGGCGGCGUGCCUAAUACAUGCAAGUCGAGCGAACGGGCGAGAAGCUUGCUUUUCUGAUGUUAGCGGCGGACGGGUGAGUAACACGUGGAUAACCUACCUAUAAGACUGGGAUAACUUCGGGAAACCGGAGCUAAUACCGGAUAAUAUUUUGAACCGCAUGGUUCAAAAGUGAAAGACGGUCCUGCUGUCACUUAUAGAUGGAUCCGCGCUGCAUUAGCUAGUUGGUAAGGUAACGGCUUACCAAGGCAACGAUGCAUAGCCGACCUGAGAGGGUGAUCGGCCACACUGGAACUGAGACACGGUCCAGACUCCUACGGGAGGCAGCAGUAGGGAAUCUUCCGCAAUGGGCGAAAGCCUGACGGAGCAACGCCGCGUGAGUGAUGAAGGUCUUCGGAUCGUAAAACUCUGUUAUUAGGGAAGAACAUAUGUGUAAGUAACUGUGCACAUCUUGACGGUACCUAAUCAGAAAGCCACGGCUAACUACGUG
rnacentral:rRNA from 1 species